rnacentral:lncRNA from 1 species
CUUUCAAAGUCCACACUCAGUCGCCUACUGUGGCGUUAUUCAUGGUCCUUUGCAGUGUCAUUAAGUGGAUUAUUCUUAUCCGUGGGUUGUAUUUUUUCCCCCUCAUUCAGAUGUCACAAAGUGCAGUACAGAAGCCCAGCCUAAAACCCCAGACAGCAAGCAAUGCAGGUGUAGAAGAACGUGUUCAGUGAUGGACAAUGCAGGUGUAGAAGAAUGUGUUCAGUGAUGGACAAUGCAGGUGUAGAAGAACGUGUUCAGUGAUGGACAAUGCAGGUGUAGAAGAACGUGUUCAGUGAUGGACAAUGCAGGUGUAGAAGAAUGUGUUCAGUGAUGGACAAUGCAGGUGUAGAAGCCCGUGUUCAGUGAUGGACAAUGCAGGUGUAGAAGCCCGUGUUCAGUGAUGGACAAUGCAGGUGUAGAAGAACGUGUUCAGUGAUGUAUAAUGCAGGUGUAGAAGAACGUGUUCAGUGAUGUAUAAUGCAGGUGUAGAAGCACGUGUUCAGUGAUGUACAAUGCAGGUGUAGAAGCAAUGUGUUCAGUGAUGUACAAUGCAGGUGUAGAAGCACGUGUUCAGUGAUGGACAAUGCAGGUGUAGAAGCCCGUGUUCAGUGAUGGACAAUGCAGGUGUAGAAGCACGUGUUCAGUGAUGUACAAUGCAGGUGUAGAAGCACGUGUUCAGUGAUGGACAAUGCAGGUGUAGAAGAACUUGUUCAGUGAUGGACAAUGCAGCUGUACAUCACUGAACACAGUUGAUUAAUACAAAACAUGAAGUACAGAGCCUUCAGAAAGUAUUCACACCCCUUGACUUUUUCCACAUAUUGUUGUCUAACAGCCUG